rnacentral:rRNA from 1 species
GAUGAACGCUGACAGCAUGCUUAACACAUGCAAGUCGAAGGGGAAGUGGUGCUUGCACUAUGGCAACCAUGGCGGACGGGUGAGUAACGCGUAAGGGACUUACCUGCAGGACUGGGAUAACAGGGGGAAACUCCUGACAUGACCGGAUAAUGUCAUGGAGCUGCCUGGCUUUAUGAUGAAAGGGGACGCCUGCGGAGAGCCUUGCGUCCUAUUAGCUAGUUGGUGAGGUAAUGGUUCACCACGGCGACGAUAGGUAGCCGGCCUGAGAGGGUGGACGGCCACAAGGGGACGGAGAGACGGCCGUGGCUCCUACGGGAGACAGCAGGGGGGAAUAUUGGACAAUGGCGGCGACCCUGAUCCAGCAAUUCGGUGUGCACGAACAAGGUUUUCGGAUUGAAAAGUGCUUGCAUCAGAGAAGGAGUAAGUGACGGUACCUGCAGAAGAAGCGACGGCUAAAUACGUG